AAAUACGAAAUUUUGUUCGUCAAUUUUCUUUUUACUAUAGUAUUCCUAAAAAUUGUAUAGCCAUUGACCAAUAUGCCCUUAGAUUCUACCACCCCAAAAGUUUUGCCCUAUUUAUGCAGACGCUUCCACCAAAAAACAGCUUUGAGCAUAGCCUUAGAAAAGAAGAAGAAUGAGGCAACAGAGAGAUUGGGAUUUUCUGUAAAAGGGUGGUUGCCCCUCUCGUUAUGCCUGUGAUUUCUCCAUUUACAAUCAACAGCCCUUUAAAUUAAACAAAAAUAAAAAAAAUCAUCCAAACAGGCCCCAAAUAUAUUGCUCUUCCUCUUCCUCUUCCUCCUCUCUUUGUGCUGCUACUGAUGUAUGUAAAGGGGCUGUGAUGAUUGCUUUUCCUUUCUGGGUUAUGUUCAAUUCAUGGCAUUGAGAAUUAUCCGACCCGUAUCUUGGCGGGGCGACCCGGUACGGCUUUUCUAUAGCAAACUGGUGUCUGCAGCCAUGGCGGCGGCGCCUUCUCUUUUGCUUUGACUAAAAAUGCAGCAAAUCUGAGCCCUCAGGAAAAGUCCCGAGUAUUAGCCUCUUUGGCCGUGUUUCUAAAAUCAGCUUAUUUUGUUAUAGCCUGUUUGACCGUGCUUUUAGAAUCAGCUUAUUAGAUCUAAAGAAACUAACCCUUAUUUUUUGGGACCUCAAAGUCUGCAAUUAUGAAAAUGACGCUCCCUUUUCUUUCCCUCAAAAGGAAAAAGGUUAGCCCAGAAGAAUUACAGAAAUGAUGCAAAACCAGAGAGUUUGGGAUUUUCUUUGAAAGGGUGGUUGCCCCUCUGUUUCACCAUUGAUUUUCCUCCAUUAUUAAAAAACAAGAAGAACAACAGCCCUUGCAGAAGUGGCAGAAAUGAUUUAAGUUAAAGAUACUAACAUCUCUAGGAGUCUUGGAGAAACAACAAAGUUAAUUCCGUGUGGCUUAUAGGUCACAGAUUCCAGCACUAAUACUUGCAUUAGGGUAGGCUGUAUAUAUUAUACCCUUAGGGGUGCCGCCCUUCCCUAAAUCUUGCGUGAAUACGGGCUGCUUUACGCACCGAGUUGCCCUUUAUUGACAUCUUGUCUUUCCUCUGUGUGUGUUAUUUUAUAGUGUUGAUGCAAGGUACAUAAAGUGGCAGUGAAGAUGAUGUUUCUAUAUCUGGGCUAACCGGUUUGGGUAUUGAGAUGACCUGACCUGUAUCAUGGCGUGGCAACCCUGUAUGGCCUGUGAUCGAGAAUAUUGAAUCUUCUCUCGCACAUGCAACCGGUGUUUUGCAGCCAUGGCCUUGUUGGCUUCUCUUUUGCCUUAUCAUAACACACAUCUGAGCUCCGUUUGCUUGAAAGUACAAGAAACAUAAUCUUUUCCAUGAUUUGAUGUUGGGAUAUGUUGAGCCCGCGACCUUCUGCCACAACUAAGAGUUUGCAAACCCAGUAACUCAAAUGGGUUGUGGUAGAAAUUCAACUCGAAUAAAGUUCAAAUCGUGGUAGAAAUUCAACUCGAAUAAAGUUCAAAUCUUGAAUCCGCAUCUGGAUGUAUAUGCAUUUAUCUCUGUUACACUAAUCGCCUGUUUGGAUGGUUGUUGUCAUUGUAUUAUAUUUUUUCUUUAAAUGGCUAGACAAGGAAAAUAUGAAGCAUAAAUUGUAAUGGGGUGAGAAAAAAGACCUCGAUGGUCCCUUAACUUUAGGGUAGGUCUAUAAUGGGGUUGUGAUAAUUGAUUUUUCCGAGCUUGAUGGAAUCAGGAGUUGAUAGGUCGUAUCUUGGCGGGGCAGCCCAAUAACUGGAUUUGCAGCCAUGGCGAUGCUAAAGAUAGAAUACAGAUGUGAGCCUCAAAAUCUCUGUUAUUACCAUCUCUACUUCACCAAUUUAGAGUGUUAAAAAUAUUUAUCUUUCCUACUGUUAUUGAGAUGGGGAGUAUGGUGGGUUAAACUUUUGUUUCUUGUUAUGAGUUAAAUAAAGGCUUGACUUUUGGAAUGAAAUAUUUUUGUUGGGGUAUUUUAUUCAUAUUUGGUCCUUGCGGAAUUCGUUUUCUUCUACAUGGGAAGAAAAGUAGCAAAUCAUGGGAUUUUAUGCUCUUGAUAAUGGGAACCAAAAUAAAAGAGGGAAAAUAAGGAAAAUUAAGUAGGCAUAAUUAUUUUUUCCCUCCGUUUUGCAAUGGGAAAACUACGGCAGAGUUGGAAACUAAACAGUAAUUUGUUAUCUAUUUAAAAGAUGUGCAUUUUAGUGUAAGAUGCUUUAUAUUUCAUCUCGUUUACAAGAUGAAGAGAUCCAGCUCAGAAUGAAGAAUAAGGGCUUGGCGAUGGAGUAAAGGGCAAUCUGGAGCCAUGGCGGUUUUGAGAAACUCCAUCUCUGAUCAUAGUGAGAUAUGAGCCUCAUAUGAAAAUAGCAAAAAUCUUGUUAGUUUAAGGCUGAGGCUGCUGUGAAAGCAGAGGGAUAUAGGGAGUUUCAAUUGGUGGUUUGCCCUUCUAUGUCGUUCUCUAUGCCGAUGAUCACUCAAAUGAAAAAAAAUUCCAAUUCCUAAACCAGCCUUUGGUGAAAUACAGAUAACCUCUCUAUUUUCCUUUCUUGUUACUCCUUCUGUUUCACUUUUAUGUGAUGCAAUGAGGCUAUGAAGAUUUUUUUUCUUCUGUGAACGAUGAUUCAAGACAUAUAUUUUAUGUUGAGCUGGAAAAAAACUAUAACUUGGCUUGGCAGCUCAGAUGGGUCUGUGAGAUAUUAGAAAAUAUUCCAGUUUUUUGUGUU